GUAGGCGGCAAGCGUUGUCCGGAAUUAUUGGGCGUAAAGCGCGCGCAGGCGGUUCUUUAAGUCUGAUGUGAAAGCCCACGGCUCGACCGUGGAGGGUCAUUGGAAACUGGAGAACUUGAGUACAGAAGAGGAAAGCGGAAUUCCACGUGUAGCGGUGAAAUGCGUAGAGAUGUGGAGGAACACCAGUGGCGAAGGCGGCUUUCUGGUCUGUAACUGACGCUGAGGCGCGAAAGCGUGGGGAGCAAACAGGGAUUAGAUACCCUGGUAGUCCACGCCGUAAACGAUGAGUGCUAAGUGUUAGGGGGGUUUCCGCCCCCUUAGUGCUGCAGCUAACGCAUUAAGCACUCCGCCUGGGGAGUACGGCCGCAAGGCUG
rnacentral:rRNA from 1 species